rnacentral:lncRNA from 1 species
GGGGGUCUCCAUGCAUAGUAUUAAGGAAAAAUAAAAAAAAAAUUACAUCAAGGGUGCGUUUGGUUCGCGCUAUCUUUUUAAGAUUUCUAAUAAUCUAAUAGGAAUAAAAAAAUAUGACGAUGUUUGGCUAAACGCACUAAGUAAUCUAGUUGGUAAUAUUGGAUUUACUUGGAAAUGAGAUGCAUCCCAAAAUACUAAUCUCGUUCUUUUGAGGGAGGGUGGGUAUCCUUAUAUUGAUGGAUUGGGUAAUUAUAAUAUGUCUAAUCUCUUUCUUUCUUCCUACCCGCCCGCUAGUUGGUAUUAUUUUUCUUUACACUCUAAUCUUAUAUCUCUCUCUAAACUUAUCUUUUUCUCUCUAAACUUCAACUUUUUUUUCUCUCUCUAAACUAAGCUAUUUCUCCCCCUCUUUUUCUAAAAUUUCAACCCUCUCUAAUCUCGACUCUAUUUCUUUUUCUAUUUCUUUAAUUAUGCUCUCUCUUUCUAAUCUACAUUCUCUCUCUUUUUUUCCUAAAAAGAUGUUGAAAUUCUUUUAUAGUAUUAUUUAAAAUUAAUUAAAAAA